GAUGAACGCUGGCGGCGUGCCUAAUACAUGCAAGUCGAGCGAACGGACGAGAAGCUUGCUUCUCUGAUGUUAGCGGCGGACGGGUGAGUAACACGUGGAUAACCUACCUAUAAGACUGGGAUAACUUCGGGAAACCGGAGCUAAUACCGGAUAAUAUUUUGAACCGCAUGGUUCAAAAGUGAAAGACGGUCUUGCUGUCACUUAUAGAUGGAUCCGCGCUGCAUUAGCUAGUUGGUAAGGUAACGGCUUACCAAGGCAACGAUGCAUAGCCGACCUGAGAGGGUGAUCGGCCACACUGGAACUGAGACACGGUCCAGACUCCUACGGGGGGCAGCAGUAGGGAAUCUUCCGCAAUGGGCGAAAGCCUGACGGAGCAACGCCGCGUGAGUGAUGAAGGUCUUCGGAUCGUAAAACUCUGUUAUUAGGGAAGAACAUAUGUGUAAGUAACUGUGCACAUCUUGACGGUACCUAAUCAGAAAGCCACGGCUAAGUACGUG
rnacentral:rRNA from 1 species